UUUUUUAUUCAUGCCAAAUCCACUUUUGUCCCUCGUGGUGCACCCGUUCCAUUGGUAUAAGUUUACAAACAUUUGACCAACAUUUAUUCUGUGUUCAAACUUGGUAGGUGCUUUAGAAAGACAAGACACAGUUUUGACUGUCUAGGGUUCUCCAUCUGGGUAGGGCAGUGGGGGAUGUGACAUGUACAGGAUUCUAGAAAAGAGCUCAAGGCAAGGUAAGCAAGUUAGAAAUGGUGCAUUGUAGACUGGGUAUCCUUAUUUGCACCAAGUUCCUGACUUUCAGCAGGCUGAAAUGCUCUGCACACGAGUGAACAAGACCUUCAACUUUACUGGUUGUGUGAACUGAAAUAGCUUAUUUCAGCUGGGAAAUUUUCCAAACACUAAACAUUUAAUAGUUUCUGUGGCCACUCUUUGAUACUCCAGGGAAAUAGAAGGGCGUGGCUGGAAAGGGUAGUACAAGUGCCAAGUGGUAUGAUUGGAGAAGUAACUGCCUCAGAAUUAGGUGAACUGGGCUCUCAGUUCUGUCACUCAUUUGCCCCGUAACCAUUCACUCAUCAUGUGUGCAAAUAUCUGGCUGUCUCAUGUGUCAAACCCAGUGCUAGCCGAGAGACACAACAGUGAACUAGACAGACAAGGACCUUGCCCAUAACUGGUGACUUUAAUUGACAUGUCUCUCAGCUUCUCAGGGCUCUGCUGUUUCUUCAUAUGAGGAAGGAGGGGCUGGAUGAGCCUUAAGUGUUUUUCCAGCUCCAAAAGCCUG